rnacentral:misc_RNA from 1 species
GUAGGUGAACCUGCGGAAGGAUCAUUAAUGAAAUGCAAGGGUGUUCUUUUUAGAAGCCCGACCCAAAUCAUUUUCACACUGUGCACUAUACUAUUUUACACCCAUUUUAAACCCAUUAUAAUAUAAGAAUGUCAACAGUCUCUUAAUUGAGCAAAAACAAAACAAAACUUUCGACAACGGAUCUCUUGGCUCCCGCAUCGAUGAAGAACGCAGCAUCUGACUGACUGAACUGUAUCUCAUCUCGUAUGCC